rnacentral:rRNA from 1 species
UACGAAGGGGGCUAGCGUUGCUCGGAAUUACUGGGCGUAAAGCGCACGUAGGCGGCUUUCUAAGUCGGGGGUGAAAUCCUGGAGCUCAACUCCAGAACUGCCUUCGAUACUGGGAGUCUUGAGUUCGGGAGAGGUGAGUGGAACUGCGAGUGUAGAGGUGAAAUUCGUAGAUAUUCGCAAGAACACCAGUGGCGAAGGCGGCUCACUGGCCCGAUACUGACGCUGAGGUGCGAAAGCGUGGGGAGCAAACAGG